CCUACGGGCGGCAGCAGUAGGGAAUAUUGCACAAUGGGGGAAACCCUGAUGCAGCAACGCCGCGUGGAGGAUGAAGGUUUUCGGAUUGUAAAACCCUUUUGUUAGAGAAGAUAAUGACGGUAUCUAACGAAUAAGCACCGGCUAACUCCGUGCCAGCAGCCGCGGUAAUACGGAGGGUGCAAGCGUUAUUCGGAAUCACUGGGCGUAAAGAGAGCGUAGGCGGGAGAGCAAGUCAGAUGUGAAAGCCUAUGGCUUAACCCUAGAACUGCAUUUGAAACUGUCAUUCUAGAGUGUGGGAGAGGUAAGUGGAAUUCUUGGUGUAGGGGUGAAAUGCGUAGAGAUCAAGAGGAAGACUCGUGGCGAAGGCGACCUACUAGAACAUAACUGACGUUGAUGCGCGAAAGCGUGGGGAGCAAACAGGAUUAGAUACCCGAGUAGUC
rnacentral:rRNA from 1 species